AGGCCUUUAGCUCAGUUGGUUAGAGCACAGUUCUUAUAAAGCUGGGGUCCGCGGUUCAAGUCCGCGAAGGCCUA
rnacentral:tRNA from 1 species